AGACAUGAGAGCCAUCUGGCUGUGGCAUAUGUCGCCCUGUUUAUCACGGCUAAUUCCACUGACCUGGUUGGCUCAGAGACUGUCUCUAUCCUCCCUCAUCUCUCCACGUGUGUGUCCCCCCACCACCUAGAACCUGCCUUCUUAGUCAGACAGGACAGUUAACGGUAUAUGAGUACCUAUGCUCCCCUGUUAGAACGUCCAAACUCCCUGGGGAAUCACCUUCUCCAUUGCCAGUGGCUAGCUAUGGCUAACUGAAGACAGAAGGGGAUGCUGGGAAAGAUGGCCAAAGAGGUAAGAAAGGGAGAAGCAGAUUCCAGUCUUU
rnacentral:snRNA from 1 species